rnacentral:rRNA from 1 species
GUUCUAGGUAAAUCCGGAGCACAUUGGGUGAGGCGUGAUGCGUACCCGUAUUUGGGGAAGUUGGUGAUCCUAUGCUGCCGAGAAAAGCCUCUAGCGAUGUGGAUAUACGGCCCGUACCCGAAACCGACACAGGUAGUCAGGUAGAGAAUACUAAGGCGAUCGGGAUAACUGUGGUUAAGGAACUCGGCAAAAUGCCCCCGUAACUUCGGGAGAAGGGGGGCCAUGACUGGUGACCGACGUGGUUGAGCUGGUUGUGGCCGCAGAGAAUAGAGGGAAGCGACUGUUUACUAAAAACACAGGUCCGUGCGAAGACGUUUAAGUCGAUGUAUACGGACUGACGCCUGCCCGGUGCUGGAAGGUUAAGAGGACCUGUUAGAUUCCUUGUGGGGUCGAAGCGGAGAAUUUAAGCCCCAGUAAACGGCGGUGGUAACUAUAACCAUCCUAAGGUAGCGAAAUUCCUUGUCGGGUAAGUUCCGACCUGCACGAAUGGCGUAACGACUUCCCUGCUGUCUCAACCACAGACCCGGCGAAAUUGCAGUACGAGUAAAGAUGCUCGUUACGCGCGGCAGGACGAAAAGACCCCGGGACCUUCACUAUAGCUUGGUAUUGGUGUUCGGUUCGGUUUGUGUAGGAUAGGUGGGAGACUGUGAUGCCUCAACGCCAGUUGGGGUGGAGUCGUUGUUGAAAUACCACUCUGAUCGUAUUGGACAUCUCAACCUCGGCCCGUGAUCCGGGUUAGGGACAGUGCCUGGUGGGUAGUUUAACUGGGGCGGUUGCCUCCCAAAGAGUAACGGAGGCGCCCAAAGGUUCCCUCAGCCUGGUUGGCAAUCAGGUGUUGAGUGUAAGUGCACAAGGGAGCUUGACUGUGAGACUGACAGGUCGAGCAGGUAGGAAACUAGGGACUAGUGAUCCGGCACCGGCUUGUGGAAGCGGUGUCGCUCAACGGAUAAAAGGUACCCCGGGGAUAACAGGCUGAUCUUCCCCAAGAGUCCAUAUCGACGGGAUGGUUUGGCACCUCGAUGUCGGCUCGUCGCAUCCUGGGGCUGGAGUAGGUCCCAAGGGUUGGGCUGUUCGCCCAUUAAAGCGGCACGCGAGCUGGGUUUAGAACGUCGUGAGACAGUUCGGUCUCUAUCCGCCGCGCGCGUAGAAACUUGAGGAAGGCUGUCCCUAGUACGAGAGGACCGGGAUGGACGUACCUCUGGUGUGCCAGUUGUCCCGCCUGGGGCAUGGCUGGUUGGCUACGUACGGAAGGGAUAACCGCUGAAAGCAUCUAAGCGGGAAGCCUGUUCCAAGAUUAGGUUUCUUUUGAGGUCCCCUAUAGAUGAUGGGGUUGAUAGGCCGGAUCUGGAAGCAUCGUAAGGUGUGGAGGUGACCGGUACUAAUAGACCAAACAUUCAACACACAAGAGAGU